rnacentral:rRNA from 1 species
CUACGGGUUGCACCAGUGAGGAAUAUUGCACAAUGGGGGGAACCCUGAUGCAGCAACGCCGCGUGGAGGAUGACGCAUUUCGGUGUGUAAACUCCUUUUAUAUGUCAAGAAAAUGACGGUAGCAUAUGAAUAAGCACCGGCUAACUCCGUGCCAGCAGCCGCGGUAAUACGGAGGGUGCAAGCGUUACUCGGAAUCACUGGGCGUAAAGGACGCGUAGGCGGGUUGGAAAGUCAGGUGUGAAAUCCUACAGCGUAACUGUAGAACUGCACUUGAAACUUCUAAUCUAGAGUAUGGGAGGGGGAGUUGAAAUUAGUGGUGUAGGGGUAAAAUCCGUAGAUAUCACUAGGAAUACCUAAAGCGAAGGCGAUCUCCUGGAACAUUACUGACGCUAAGGCGUGAAAGCGUGGGGAGCAAACAGGAUUAGAUACCCUGUAGUC